rnacentral:rRNA from 1 species
UACGUAGGCAGCGAGCGUUGUUCGGAAUUACUGGGCGUAAAAGAGUGUGUAGGCGGUGUUCCAAGUCUGGUGUGAAAUCUCCCGGCUCAACUGGGAGGGUGCGCCGGAAACUGGAAUGCUAGAGGGUGGGAGAGGUAAGCGGAAUUCCUGGUGUAGCGGUGAAAUGCGUAGAUAUCAGGAGGAACACCUGUGGUGUAGACAGCUUACUGGACCACUUCUGACGCUGAGACACGAAAGCGUGGGUAGCAAACAGG